GACGAACGCUGGCGGCGUGCUUAACACAUGCAAGUCGAACGGAAAGGCCCUGCUUUUGUGGGGUGCUCGAGUGGCGAACGGGUGAGUAACACGUGAGUAACCUGCCCUUGACUUUGGGAUAACUUCAGGAAACUGGGGCUAAUACCGGAUAGGAGCUCCUGCUGCAUGGUGGGGGUUGGAAAGUUUCGGCGGUUGGGGAUGGACUCGCGGCUUAUCAGCUUGUUGGUGGGGUAGUGGCUUACCAAGGCUUUGACGGGUAGCCGGCCUGAGAGGGUGACCGGCCACAUUGGGACUGAGAUACGGCCCAGACUCCUACGGGAGGCAGCAGUGGGGAAUAAUGCCAAAUGGGCGGAAGCCUGAUGCAGCAACGCCGCGUGCGGGAUGACGGCCUUCGGGUUGUAAACCGCUUUCGCCUGUGACGAAGCGUGAGUGACGGUAAUAGGUAAAGAAGCACCGGCUAACUACGUG
rnacentral:rRNA from 1 species